AGAUUGAACGCUGGCGGAAUGCUUUACACAUGCAAGUCGAACGGUAGAGGGGGCAACCCCUUGAGAGUGGCGAACGGGUGAGUAAUAUAUCGGAACGUGCCCAGUCGUGGGGGAUAACGUAGCGAAAGCUACGCUAAUACCGCAUACGAUCUAUGGAUGAAAGCGGGGGAUCGCAAGACCUCGCGCGAUUGGAGCGGCCGAUAUCAGAUUAGGUAGUUGGUGAGGUAAAGGCUCACCAAGCCGACGAUCUGUAGCUGGUCUGAGAGGACGACCAGCCACACUGGGACUGAGACACGGCCCAGACUCCUACGGGAGGCAGCAGUGGGGAAUUUUGGACAAUGGGCGCAAGCCUGAUCCAGCAAUGCCGCGUGCAGGAUGAAGGCCUUCGGGUUGUAAACUGCUUUUGUACGGAACGAAACGGUGAGCUCUAAUACAGUUUGCUAAUGACGGUACCGUAAGAAUAAGCACCGGCUAACUACGUG
rnacentral:rRNA from 1 species